rnacentral:lncRNA from 1 species
AGGAAGUGCUGUUGCAACCUCGCUGCCACGUCUGUCGGAUCCUCUGCAGCAGCAGCAGCAGCAGCAGCGGCGGCGGGUAUGAGGAGCGGGAUGGGCCGGUGCCGGGCGGUGGUGGGGGGGUGAUGCGAGGGAGAGGUGGGCGUGCCCGAGGAAGGAAAGAGGAAACACGUAGAGCCACAACACAACACUCCCUCGGCUGAAAGAAGCAGCUUGAAGGAGCGACCGCUGCCUCCUGCAGGAUCCGCUCUAUUGUUCACACAGAGCGGCCUGGUUCUGCAGGUUUCCCCCGGGUUCUGGAGGAGGGGGUCCCCCAUGCUAAACUCGGGGACAAUGGAGGAAUUUGUGACCGAAGAGGAAGAGCCAUGGUACGACCAACAGGACCUGGAGCAGGGGUGGUGGUCGGCAGCCUGUCCAGCGUCUCCACGUGGAGCCCUCUGCAGCUGAUGAUGACAGAAAACAUCAGCUCGGACGUCCUGAUUCCUCUGAACCCUGCAGACUCUCAGACAGAUGUACCAGAUUCAAACAAUGAAAUUGUCACAGAUGAAAAGCUCCCAGAGACCAGAGAUCGUGAAUGCCCAACAGAUCUCACGUGGUUACAAAUAUCUGCAAUGGAGCAGUGCAAUCCAAACAUGACUUUCCAAUUGGUGGAACUGAAGAAUAAAUGAUUGGACGCAGAUUUAACUGAAGCCAGUUUUCAGAUUAAUGAAGAGAAAACUAAAUUGUACACUGGACGUGCACAUUUCAUGAUACUACAGCAAGUAAUGUCAAUAUGUGGUGGAUUAGUUUAUUCAGGCACGCUCAACUCUCUAACAAAGUUUCAAGAACUCCUCUUCGUACUCAUGCACCUACGCCUUAACAUGCCCUUUGAAGAUUUGAGUUAUAGAUUUUGAAUAUCUAGGUCUACAGCAUGCCGAGUAUUUGACAAAUGGUUCGAUGUGUUGA